CCCUUAGAUGUUCUGGGCCGCACGCGUGCUACACUGAGUGGAUCAGCGGGUCAGGUUGCGCGAAAGUGUUUCCUAAUCUUGAAAUCCGCUCGUGAUGGGGAUUGACGGUUGCAAUUUUCCGUCAUGAACGAGGAAUACCUUGUAAGCGCGGGUCAUCAUCCCGCGCUGAAUACGUCCCUGCCCUUUGUACACACCGCCCGUCGCUACUACCGAUUGAACGUUUUAGUGAGGCAUUUGGACCGACGCAUCUCAGUUUAACCGCUGGUUUGUGUUGGAAAGACUUCCAAACUUGAGCGUUUAGAGGAAGUAAAAGUCGUAACA
rnacentral:rRNA from 1 species